CACAUGCAAGUCGAACGAGCGAGAGAGAGCUUGCUUUCUCGAGCGAGUGGCGAACGGGUGAGUAACGCGUGAGGAACCUGCCUCAAAGAGGGGGACAACAGUUGGAAACGACUGCUAAUACCGCAUAAGCCCACGGGUCGGCAUCGACCAGAGGGAAAAGGAGCAAUCCGCUUUGAGAUGGCCUCGCGUCCGAUUAGCUGGUUGGUGAGGUAACGGCCCACCAAGGCGACGAUCGGUAGCCGGACUGAGAGGUUGAACGGCCACAUUGGGACUGAGACACGGCCCAGACUCCUACGGGAGGCAGCAGUGGGGAAUAUUGCACAAUGGGGGAAACCCUGAUGCAGCGACGCCGCGUGGAGGAAGAAGGUCUUCGGAUUGUAAACUCCUGUUGUUGGGGAAGAUAAUGACGGUACCCAACAAGGAAGUGACGGCUAACUACGUGCCAGCAGCCGCGGUAAAACGUAGGUCACAAGCGUUGUCCGGAAUUACUGGGUGUAAAGGGAGCGCAGGCGGGAAGACAAGUUGGAAGUGAAAUCCAUGGG
rnacentral:rRNA from 1 species